AAACACCUAAAACGACAUGACAAUCGCUCUUCUCAGGUUCCUCUCUGUUAAAUUAUUUAAAUCGACAAACCGAGAAAUAAGCUUUAAAUUUUAAUAGACAAUUGCGAUGCACGAUUAACGACACUGUUCGAUCCGGAAGUACCUAACUUCAGGCAAAGUAAACGAGUCUUCCGCGUUCGCAGAGUUCGCCUGGCACAAUCCGCACAAACAGUGAGCAACGAACGAGGAACGUCGUCGGGAUAAACAGCAAACAGUCGUACAGUAUUGUGGAAUAUCACGCGGAACACGAGGGUUAUCGGUGUGGCUACUGCAAGAGCUCUACCACGAAUUUCAGUCACGGUAUGUGGGCGCACACGUUGACGAUGCAAAACUAUCAAAGUUUGAUUGACAGGGAUUGGAGACGGAACGAUGUUAUUGUUAUAAACCCACGAUGAAUCAGAUCUGCUAUCCUCAGUAUAUCAUUAGAUGCUAAAUUUUAGGAUAUCAAAGUCUUAAAAAAAAGUCUAAAACACAUGACUAAAUUUUUGAAAAAUGAAUUGACGAAUCAUAGUUCUGAAGGUACAAGUGAAGAUCAACAAGAUAAUAAAGAUAUAAGCAAUGAAGAGGCAUUAAACUAUCCUAAGCAUUUGACAAAAGCGCAGAAAGAUAAAUCUCAGACUGAUGUUACGUCCGUCGAUAAUGAAGUCUGUGGAAGAAUAUUCAUUAAUUCAGUAAAAAUGGAAAUUCAGAAAAAUUUGACUUCUGCAUUGAGUAGCGAUCAAGCGCAGUUAACAAAUUCCAACAGCAAAAAUACCUUGCAUGUUAGAAGUGAGAUCACCGAAGUUGAAAAUUUAUUAAUAGUUGUAAAUAUUUGUUAAAUAAUGCUAUUAUUAAGCUGGCUCUAUAUUAAAGAUUUAAUGUUUAAUUAUAUGGCUCUAUAUUAAAGAUUAAUUGUUUAAUUACGUUGCAACCACGAAAUUGAAUCAUAUCAUUUUUCUGUUUCUAUUUUACUCGAUUUUGAUCUGAUUAUAAACUAAUUGCAAUGAGUUUACGUGUAUCUUAUUACAAUAGUUAUUUUCUUCUUCGUCCGAAUAGAGAUUGUUAUUAAGUUAUUUAUUUUUGUAAAUUGAGAUUGGUUCGAACUGCCUCAAUGAGCUUCGAAUACUUAAAGAUUUCGAAAGAAUCUUAUGAGCUUUACAAAAAGUAUCAGAACACGGUACAUGGUUGUUUGAGAAACUCACAGAGCAAUUUUCUAAGUCAUAUUGUUUAAAAUCUAUCGUAUUUGAGUAAAACUAUCCCUACUUUCGAUUAGUUUAAAUUACACAUUUUUUAUUGUCAGAAUGUUAAAGUUUUCUAAGUUUUGCAUUGUAAUUACAAGAGCAAAAUGUAUUGGAUAUUUGGUAUUAGAAAUAUAAAAUUUCAAAAUAUAA